rnacentral:rRNA from 1 species
UAGUGGUGAUAGCGGAGAGGAAACACCCGUUCCCAUCCCGAACACGGAAGUUAAGCUCUCCAGCGCCGAUGGUAGUUGGGGCCAGCGCCCCUGCAAGAGUAGGUCGCUGCUAGGCA